UACAGAGGUCCCAAGCGUUGUUCGGAUUCACUGGGCGUAAAGGGUGCGUAGGUGGUUAGGUAAGUCCGAUGUGAAAUCUCCAGGCUCAACCUGGAAAUGGCAUUGGAUACUAUCUAGCUUGAGGAGUGGAGGGGGGGACUGGAAUUCUCGGUGUAGCAGUGAAAUGCGUAGAUAUCGUAAGGAAGACCAGUGGCGAAGGCGGGUCUCGUGGACAGUUCCUGACGCUGAGGCACGAAGGCCGGGGGGAGCAAACGGG
rnacentral:rRNA from 1 species